rnacentral:rRNA from 1 species
AGAUUGAACGCUGGCGGCAUGCCUAACACAUGCAAGUCGAACGGGAGUAGCAAUACUCUAGUGGCGGACGGGUGAGGAAUACGUAGGAAUUUGCCCUUAAGUGGGGGAUAACCCGGGGAAACCCGGAUUAAUACCGCAUGACCUCGAAAGAGCAAAGUGGGGGAUCGCAAGACCUCACGCUUUUGGAGAAGCCUACGUCGGAUUAGCUAGUUGGUGAGGUAAUGGCUCACCAAGGCGACGAUCCGUAACUGGUCUGAGAGGAUGAUCAGUCACACCGGAACUGAGACACGGUCCGGACUCCUACGGGAGGCAGCAGUGGGGAAUAUGGACAAUGGGCGCAAGCCUGAUCCAAGCAAUGCCGCGUGUGUGAAGAAGGCCUUGGUUGUAAAGCACUUUAAGUUGGGAAGAAAAACUCGACGUACUAACACCGAGUGAGUCGUUGACGGUAACCGACAGAAUAAGACACCGGCUAC